rnacentral:tmRNA from 1 species
GGGGGCGACUGGUUUCGACAUAGAUGUUUUGAGAGUGGAAGCAGGUCGUGGUCUCCUCGCCACGUUAAACAGGGGUACUGUCAAUUUAAUUGGCAAACGUGAACUUGCUCUCGCUGCCUGAUUGAGCGGCGACGUUGACUCCGGGUACUUUCCCGCCCCGGAGAAGACGCCAUUUAGGGAAAUGCUCCUGCGCACGUAGCCGGUAUGGCACAGGAAAAGACGGAACCGACUGGCGACGGUCAGCCUUGUCUGCUGAGUUGGCCUGAGCGAAACUGAUCGACAGACUGAGCCUGGAGAUGCCACUCGCGACGCAUGUAUGGACCGGAGUUCGAUUCUCCGCGCCUCCACCA